rnacentral:rRNA from 1 species
CUUUUCCUACGGGAGGCAGCAGUGGGGNAUCUUAGACAAUGGGCGCAAGCCUGAUCUAGCCAUGCCGCGUGAGUGAUGAAGGUCUUAGGAUCGUAAAGCUCUUUCGCCAGGGAUGAUAAUGACAGUACCUGGUAAAGAAACCCCGGCUAACUCCGUCCCAGCAGCCGCGGUAAUACGGAGGGGGUUAGCGUUGUUCGGAAUUACUGGGCGUAAAGCGUACGUAGGCGGAUUAGAAAGUAUGGGGUGAAAUCCCAGGGCUCAACCCUGGAACUGCCUCAUAAACUCCUGGUCUAGAGUUCGAGAGAGGUGAGUGGAAUUCCAAGUGUAGAGGUGAAAUUUGUAGAUAUUUGGAGGAACACCAGUGGCGAAGGCGGCUCACUGGCUCGAUACUGACGCUGAGGUACGAAAGUGUGGGGAGCAAACAGGAUUAGAUACCCUGGUAGUCCACCCCGUUCCGAUGAAUGCCAGUCGUCGGGCAGCAUACUGUUCGGUGACACACCUAACGGAUUAAGC